CACGGAGUUAGCCGGAGCUUUCUCUGAGGGUACCGUCACAUCCCGAGGAUCGGGAUCGUUCGUCCCCUCUAACAGAGGUUUACACACCUUGGUGCUUCAUCCCUCACGCGGCGUUGCUGGUUCAGGCUUUCGCCCAUUGACCAAUAUUCCUCA
rnacentral:rRNA from 1 species